AGAGUUUGAUCAUGGCUCAGGACGAACGCUGGCGGCGUGCAUAACACAUGCAAGUCGAGCGAGGGCUUAUUUCCCGCAAGGGAGAUGAGUUCCUAGCGGCGAACGGGUGAGUAACACGUGGGCAACCUUUCCCAUCGCGGGGGAUAACAGCGGGAAACCGCUGCUAAUACCGCAUGUCGUCACCGGUCGCAUGGCCGGUGAAGAAAGCAGCAAUGCACGAUGGGAUGGGCCCGCGGCCUAUCAGCUAGUCGGUGGGGUAACGGCCUACCGAGGCGAUGACGGGUAGCUGGUCUGAGAGGACGACCAGCCACACGGGGACUGAGACACGGCCCCGACUCCUACGGGGGGCAGCAGUGAGGAAUCUUCCGCAAUGGGCGAAAGCCUGACGGAGCGACACCGCGUGUGGGAUGAAGUCUUUCGGGAUGUAAACCACUGUUGGAGGGGAAGACAUCGACGGUACCCUCCGAGAAAGCCCCGGCUAACUACGUGCCAGCCGCCGCGGUAAUAC
rnacentral:rRNA from 1 species